CUCCUUGCUCAGACCCCUGGGCUGGCAGCAGCAACAUUGCCCUUUAUAAAGCCCCCUACCAGCUAGAAAAGAACCAGCUCACAAUCUGCUUCGCGCUUGAUUUAAAGGCGCUGACAAGCUGCUGCCCGCUCCCCAGCACGGUGGCGAGACUGGAUUGGGACUGUCAUAUAUAAUGCAUGGAGUCAGGGCCGCGAGCCGGGUUGUACGCGUGUGUGAUCCGCUCUGGAGCGCUGUUCCCAGAGCCAUUGUGCAAACAUAUUUACUCUGCAUAAAAGAAUGGGAUGAAGCUGCAAAGGACAUUUGUUCAUCGAAGUGGAUUUAAUUUUUAAACUCGCAUUAGGACAGGAUCAACCUUGCUGAAGGAGGAGCGCUCUCUCAGAGGCAGAGAGAGCCCAGCCAGCCAUGGUCACCAUUAAGUCACCUCCAUCAUACUCUGUGAGUUAGGGGGGCAAGUGAGGAUGUGAUCCACCAAUCCCCAACGAAGAAUCCUAGGGAAGAAUCUGAUUGGCUAGUCACCUGCCAGUCAUCACAGCCGAGGGAAAGGAGGGGUGGAGCAGCGACUCCACCAACUACAAAAGGUGAGGUGCUUAUCAACCUUUAUGAGGGAACAAUGGGUGAAGACAAUGACCAGGGUGCAGGCAGGCUGACCAUCCCAUCGGUUUGCCUGGAACUGUCCUAGUAUUAGCAAUGACAGUCCCAUGUCCCCAGGGCAAACCAGGGUGGUUGGUCACUGAAGUUCAAGUCCCUCUAGACAUUUCCAAACCUAAUUAACAAGUUGGGGAAGCGAGCUGUAACCCGUUUCUCUAGCUCUUUAUUUGUGUGAUUUGGCCAGAAAUUGCUUCAAGAGGAGACGUUCAAAAAGGAACAAAAAAUCAGAACUGAAACAAUGUCGGAGGGCACUUUGGGGUUUCUUCAGCAAAAUGCAAAUCCCUCCAUUAUCUUGUGGUUUAAACCAAAGCUGCCUUUUGGAAACUCCCGCUGAUUCUCCAGCCUCAUGGAGGGUGGCAGGUUCCUCUUUUAAGUGUUCCAGGCUAGGAGUUGCGUGGUUAACGCUGGGGUAAUACACACUCUGUAUUUGCUACCACAGCCCCCCACCCCUAGAAGUCUCCCAAGAGGAAAUCGGUGGUGUGGUCAUGCACAGCUCCUGUGCUCCUGAUGGAGACUGUUGUGGAUCCAGGGCCAUCUAGACAUCUAGGUAUUUUCAGCUUUCUUCCCUUAGGACAAGAGGACCAAGGCCUGAGCAGCCCUGAAUCGCUCCCAUGAUGGCCCAAACAGGCACGGAGGAGGGUGAUUGGUCCCUGAGAAUGUGGAUGCCUGGAGCAGUUCACGGUACUGUCUCUGCCUCGUUCUGAGCCUGCACUGGGGCCUUGGGUCCCUGCAGAGCUGGUGGCCCACAGCUGGUAGCACUGUCCAGGUGCAGGUUUCAAUCAUCUUCCAGGUAAAGGACGUGCACGUGGCCUAACAAUAGAAGCCGACCUUCAGUAAGAGCCACCUGGGAUGGGGCAGGUCACCGGACCACCUUUCUUCACCUGUGUCCCAUCUGCGGUGGGGAGGGGGGACUUCAUUCUGCAUUUUACAUUUGAGGUAACUGAGGCAACCUGGAGGAGGUCACAGAGCUAACCAUUAGUGGGAGAGCAUCAGGCACAUGAGGACCUGCAGCUUUGCAGGAGGAAGAUCCUGAUGCCCCCAAGCAUCCUCACAGGCGCUCUCGGCUGGAGGUUCAUCUUUCAAAUCAGCCCUGCCUCCUCCAGUCAGCUCUGUCUGGUUUAGCUCAGCUAACAGGAUGCGUCAGCUUACCUGAAUAAAACACUUUACACCCCCACGUAAGGACCAAUAAGCUUAACCUUUAGGGACAGGUUUGGUUUUUGUUUUGCCUCUUCCUGUCACAGGCUUCAGCUGCCACAUGGAUGAGGAAGUCAGGGAGGUAACUGACCAGACCAGCACACCUUCUCCCUGCCCCUGGCUGGCUAGCUGGGACCUUUCCCCCUCUGCCUCUCCAAACCUGAGGCUGAAAGGGGCCUAUGGGGGUGUUCGGGAAUCUGGGAGGUUGCCAAGCCCCAUCCACCAAGGUGGGCCGGUUCUGUCCCUAAGUUGGAGCUCAGGACUGGCUUCAGCCAAGGCAGUGCCCAGAGCCUUUGAGAGACCCCAGGCUGGGGUCGGUGGGGUGGGCCUGGCUCUCUGGGGAAGGCUGCCAUCAGGGAGCGUGGGCUGCCGCACACUCUCCUCCCGGUGUUGACAGUGACGGAUGUGGUCAGGGCAGGACCCAGACAGGGAAGAGCUGAGGUUCCUGGUGGGUCAGUUUGGCUCUUCCCUGCUCUGCUCUGUGGCUGCAAAUACAAACCUGGGGCCCAGCAGGGACAGGCAUCCCCACCUGUCAAAGGCCUACGGACCCAGGGAGGGGGACGCCGUUCCUCACGGCCCUGGUGUCAGAAGCAUGACCGGCCUGCUUUGUCAAGAGGCGGAGGAGGGCGGGAUGCCUGCUGGGCAUGUGGACUCUCAGCUUCCAAGCAGGUCCUGUUGCCCUCCUGCCCUCCAGGUGACAAAGCUGAGGCACUGUUGGGAGUAGCAGUCUGCCCGUCAUCCCUGGCAGUGGGUCAACAUGCAGCCUGGCUCUGGGACCUGGAAUUGGACCUGGGUUAUGCAGCUGGCCUGUGCAGGUGCCAGCCUCGCCUCUCUGGGCCUCCAUCUCCUGAGCCACACAAUGAGGACGAGGCCGGCUCUGCACUGAGAGCAAGGCCGACGGCAGAGGCCAUGUGCCGCAGACCUGGACUCAUCCCCUCACUAUGCAGGCAGGCCCCAGCCCCUAGAAGCUCCUGGAACUUGGAACUCUGGGCAGAAGCCCUCAGAACAGAGCAGCCCAGUUCUGCCUCUUCCAGCUUCCCCAGGAGCCUGCUGCCUCGUCUGCAGUGGCAGGGAAGACCAUGACGCCCCCCACACCCACAUCCAGGCUGCCUUGCAAUCCACACACCUGUCCAUUUCACCUCCAUCCACGUCCCUCUCCCCUGCGGCCACCACGCAGGCCCAGCCACCCCCACCCCUCUGCUGCUGCAGCCUGGAAGGUCGCUGCAUGCUUCUCUAUCCCGGGCAGUCCCGCACCGCUUGGGGAAGCUGGAAGAGUCCAGGUCUGCUGGCACCAGCCGUGAGAUGGAGCAUAAGGGGCAUGUGGCACCCCUGAGCACAGACCCUCCUGGGCUGUCCUGUUACAGAGAGGGGCAGAUCACCCUCCUCACAGCCUCCAGGCCCUCUGGGUCCAGCCGCGUUCCCUGCCCGACUCAUUGUGUGAGUGCCAGGCACGUCCCCCUCCUGGGCACUCACCCUGCCACCCCCAGGCCUCCUAGGGCCAGAGUCUCUGCCCUGGACACGUGUAUUUUCCUACUAACUGCCACUCAUCCUUCUGUCUUGUCUGCCCCGGACAGUCAUGCCUCUGCCAUCUCCCCCUGGCAGGGCACGCUGCACCUUCUGAAUCCCACCGUGGCCCUGGGAAAAUUUCACUUGUCUCUCGGCACACCAAGGCCAGGCAUUCAGGGAUUGCAUCACUUUCCUGAGCUAUGUACCUGCAGCAUCUGGCUCGGGGCUGGGUGUGUCACUGACCCACAACCACUGCUGAAUGAAUGAUGAGUGGAUGAGUGAGUGAUGAGCGGAUGAGUGAGUGAUGAGCGGAUAAGUGAAUGAGCACAGGUGGGUCUCAGGAGGUCCUUCCAGCCCUAGAACUGACUCGGGGGCCUUGGUUAAUGCCAGUGGGUGAUUUUCUGACUCUAAAGGCAGAUGUGGGGAGUGGAGACUCAGCCCUGAAUGCAUGCAGUGACCCAGCACUGAGAGAGGACGGUGGCUCUGGCGGGGUGGCCGCCUGCGAGAUGCUCCCCGGGGCCUGCUGCGGAGAUGAGUAAACAUCAGAGUUUUGUGAUGAGGGCUCUGCCAGGGGAAGCCCACGGUAUCACGGAGAGAAGACAAGGGCAUCCACCACAGGAGGAUGGACAGGGUGGGCAGGUGUGGGCUUCGUCAUCCAUCAUGGCCAGGGCUGGGAGUCCUCAGCGCUUCCAGCUCUGGAGACAGGCCCAGAACCCUGGAAAGAGGAGCUCCCAUCAGCCCACAGGGGGCUGGGCCGGCCAUCCAAGGCAGACAUCCAGGGUCCUUCUAUUUGAACCGAUGGGUAGAUGCUCAGCUGCUCCGGGGGCUGGUCCAGGCUCCAUCCCAGUCCUGGCUGUCCAUGCAGAACAUGGUACCCAGGCCCCAGGACUAGCAGAUAAUCCUUCAAGAGGGUCCAGAAACGGUGUGCCGAGCACAGUUCUCCAUGAGUCAGAGGCCUCUGGACAUGAGCCUAAGGGGCCCACAUUGAAAUAGGACUCUCUAAUCACAGCUGGGCACCAAUCAGGCACCGGCUUCCAUGGCUGAGGCCUGCUGGCUUCUCUCUCUCAGUGAACCGUGCUCCCGUCAGCCUCCGCGCGACAUCCCGCAAGGCUGCAGCCACCUCUCGCUCUGCAUCCAGGAGCAGGAGUGUCCGGGGUGGAGGCUCUGCUGCCCCAUAGGCUGUGGGGCUGUCUGUGCCAGGAGGAAGGACCCCUACCCGCACCUGCUGUGUGCCUGCUCAGGGGUCGAGGCAGCUGCGCAGCUUACAAAGAGGACAGCACCCCCGUCUCAGGCUGCCAGGGCCUUCUGUGAUCUCCUGUCCUUGGGCUCCUCUGCUGGCACCCUCCUGCUCCUCCUGAGCCGUCCUCGUGCCCUUGCCAUCUUUCCUGGAAAGCCUUGCAUCCAUUCAGCACAGCUUCACAGCUUCACCCAGCCCGGGCCUCAUGUGCCCCAGAAACACAGCCUUGAACACAACAGCGGGUUCCCUCUCAGGAGCUUCCCCACCUCCCCCUGGGUCAAGGAGAGGGAGACCAGCAUUGGCGUGCACUGUGUCAGGUGGAGAUCAAUUGGAAGAAAAGCAAAGUGGGGUGGUGGUGGGCAGGGGACCGCAGGGGGUGCUAUCUCAGAGGUUUCUGCAGGGCCGUCUGUGCAGAAGCCCAUUGCUGUCGCUUGUAGCUCAUCGUCCUUGUGGCAGCCCCAUGCCAGUUCUGCAGGCCAAAGAACAAGGUUCAGAGAGGGUGAGCAGCUGGCAAGAGAGCACACAGCAGCUAGUGGCAGGAGCGGAGCCCAGUCUUCCCUCCAACCGAGCCCUUUCCUUCUCCUUAGCUUUGCCCACCGAAGCCCUUCCCAUCUCCUUGCCUAGAGAUGGUUAGGCGUGACGACUGUGUUCAGGAUGACCCUGGCCAGGUGCAAUAAUUACAAGCCUAGGAAAAAUGACAGAAAAUAAACAUUCCAAGAUAUUAGCAAGCUGGCGUGGCUUUCUCUUCUGCUUUACAUUAUUUUUUCCUUACUUUCCAAAUUUUAUGCGGUGAGAAUUUAUUACUUUCAUUACCAGGUGCAAAAAAUAGAAACAAACAAAAAACUCUGUCUGAUCUUUCAGACUAGUUCGAAUGUCUUCUUUUCUAGAACUGGGAUGACCAGGACAUUUGGGCGUGAAAGGGGCCCUACAAGCCUUAACAGAUACUAAAGAACGUCAGACAAGCAGAAUGAGGAUGGCCCCAGGCAAGGUGGACCCCACCCCAGCUGCAGGGAACAGCAAGGCUGCAGGUCAGUGUUGAGUGGCCCUUUACAAAGGACUGUGACCCAGGCUGGGGGCAGUGGCUCACGCUUGUCAUCCCAGCACUUUGGGAGGCUGGAUCGCCUGAGGUCAGGAGUUCGAGACCAGCCUGGCCAACACGGUGAAACCCUGUCUCUACUAAAAAUACAAAAAUUAGCCGGGUGUGGUGGUGCACACUUGUAAUCCCAGCUACUUGGGAGGCUGAGGCAGGAGACUAGCUUGAACCCAGGAGGCGGAGGUUGCAGUGAGCUGAGAUUGCGCCACUGCACUCCAGCCUGGGCAAGAGUGAAACUCUGUCUCAAAUAAUAAAAACAAACAAAGAAACAAAAGCAAACACACACAAAACAAAGGGCCGUGACCCACAUGGACCUGGGACAAGGCUUCGGCUAAGCAAGCCCAAUGUCCAGUGGCUAUGGCCUCAGGAAGGUCAGCAAGGCAAGUUCCCUAUCCCUAAGACCGGGUCUUGAGACAGAAGCAGACAGUAGGCUCAACUCUCUGGAGGGCCCUGGCCAGGGCAACACAGGUCCACGUCCAGGCAAGGUCAUGCUCCCUGCCCCGCUCUGCCCCUUGGAGCAGGCUGUCAGAGGGGCCAAGGACUCCUCUCAGCAGGCUCGGGAGGAAACAGGAUCUCGAGUUCUAUUUUUUAAAUCACAAAAUUAGGGCCAUUUCUGUCUCUCCCUGGUCUGUCCCCUCCGAACCUGGGAGGCCCCUCUCCAGCAGAGGCUGCUUCUGUUCUCUCUCAUUCCAUAAAAACACUCCCGAGCCUUUCUGUUGCUGCAAAGAGAGCUUUGAUUCUUUGCCGAGAAUCUGCACCGCGGGCUCCAAAUGGGAGCGUUUCUCCGGAGAGGAGCAGGAGGAGAAUCAUUUUGUCGACGGCAGGUAAUUAAGUUGCCACGCAGAGAGGGAGCAUGCGUUAUACGAUGAUUAAUCCCAGAGACGGCGAGGACAUUUUUCAUUUUCAAAUCUCUCCUUGGUUGUUAAUGAAUCAUCUCAGCUCCUGGGAGAGAAGUGCUGGUGCUCGCCCUAAGAGCAAGGGAAACUGAGUCGGCUGUGCCCACCGCCCCCGCCACACGGUGCAGAGUGGAAGCAGCCUCGGGAGGGCAAGUGCUGGGAGACCAUGGGCUUUCUCCCCGGGCAUCUCGUCCAUGUGGCUUCCUGUCUCCCCAGCCUCAUCUGGGCAGGAAUUCAGGAAUCAAUAAAAAUGUUAUUUUAAAUAAAAAGAAAGCCACCCUGCUCUGCUUGGCACAGGCUGCCAUUGACCGCCUUCUGCACCUGCUUUUGUUCUGUUUUUCUCAGGUACCUGCUCAUUUCCAGCUCCCAGCCUCCCUCAGAACACAGACUGCCUUGCCAUUUUCUUAGCGAGCGGUUUGCAGCAAAGUGCUAUUUUGCUCUCGAACGCCUUCCUUUCCAAUUGGGACAAACGGCUAUGAAUACGGCACACCCUGUUUUGCAUUCAAACUGUUGGGAAAGUUUUGCGGCUGUAAAUAUCAUGCUCUUGGUGCUCAAGACAGAAUUAUUAUUACUUUUUCCUUAGUUCUUGGAACCAGUGAUAAAUUAAACAUUUCUUUUGCCCCCCCUUGCAGCCGGCAGGCAAUGUGGAGCUGAUUGCUUUGCCUCUGUCCUGACCCAUGUGCCCCAUCGGGAGAGGAACAAGACGACAGUGACUUGCCAGGGGCACAGGCACAUGGAUGGGGAGCAGGUCUAAAUGGGGGAGGGGGCACGUGCAGGGGGGGCUUUCCUGAGAUAGGGCUUCUCUUUGGUGUUUUCCCUGCACAAUCUUCCAAUGAUGUAUAGAGUUUACCCUCAACGCUCAGAGGCUGACAUUUGACAUAGAGGGAAACUGAGGCACAAUGGAGGUCUCCAGAAGAUUCUGUCCCCACACACUGUUCUCUUUCCAUCGUCUGCUCUGGGUCAGAUCCUGGGAAGUGGUGUUUUUCCUCUGGGGCGGGCGCUGGGCGUGUGGAGGUGGGAAAGCCUCACUCCUGGGCUCUGCCAGGUGGAAACGGAGGGCGCUGUGCCUCUUGGACUAAAAGGGUGAGCCUGGCAGGUGCACUGGCCUGACUCGCGUUCCUGCUUCGAGGUCCUGAGCACCUCCUCGGAGUCUCAGUUUCCUCACCUGCAAAUGAUCUUGAAGAUGUUCAAAUGCCUUCUUCCCUCCCGAGGUCCUGAAAAUGGCUGGGGAGGUCCGGGGGGGAGGAUUACGUGAGGCACACGGGAUCCGCCGUGACUCAGGCCACAGGGUCCGCUGGGCACCCCGCCCAGACUGCCCCCCACCAAGAGCUGCCAUGCACAGGUGGGUGGUGGAGGCUCCAGCCCCGCUCAAGCCUGCAGGCACACUUUCUCAUCGACGGACCCCAACACAUCCCUGUGUGUGGGCAGGGCUGGCAGGGGAUUCACGCCCACCUGCCCCGCAGCACCCCGCCGUUCUGCCUCCACCCUGUCUGCCUCGCUCAAGUGCACGAUGGCCAGGUGGAUGGAUGACCCUCCCAACCUCACCUCCCAGGUUUCCCUGAGGGAACGCAGCCCCUACUGGAUCCUACUGGACCUGGGUUCUGAGAUGACCCUUCCACAUGAAGAAAGAGAGUCCAGGGCUGGUGGGGGCAUCGCAGCUUCCUGGGGCCCUGCAGGAGACGGAAGAAGCCAGGGUGCUCAUCACACAGGCCUCCAGCUUUCUCCAGGGGCUGGACCUGGGGACCAGCCUGGGGUAUGGGUUCCUUCCUCUCCCCAUCCCCAGCCUGCCAGCCCCUCCCGGAUGGAGGUGGGAGUAAGAUGCCCCCCCGCUGGAGAGCCUUUUUCUGUAGCUGUGCAGGGGUGGGAGUAGGGGAGACAGGGCUUUGUCUAAUAAGAGGAAUCCAUCAAGUUUGCUAAACCACUUUCCCUCUGGAGCCAUGCGGCUCCUCUCCAGGGAGCUUGGCCUGGCCAGGCCUGCAAGCGGUGCCUCCUCCCAGCCCCACCCUGCCUUUUGUCUUUGUCUCUGACAUCUGCGUUCCUUCUGAGUGUGCUUUGCUUCUUUCUGCUGCUCGAUGGCUAAUAGGAUUGAGCGGGAAGGCGCCAGGAGAGCCGGCAGCCCGGCCUGGGAGGGGCUCUCACUCUUCCUCUGCCAGAAGCCUUAUCGAGCGCAGGGUGUUUGACUUCAGAAACACAUCCCCACGGCUUUCCUUUCCGCCUUCCUUCUGGGACUGAUUUGUUUACUUCUUUCAGAGGUUCGCCGUCCCUCUUUCUGCAGGGGUUUGCUGGAUCACAGGUCCCCAGUGCCCCGGACAUAGUGUGUGAGGAAUGCGGGUAUGAGAGAUACUAACAUAGGCAAAGUCGGCUCAUCUCAUCCAACCUCACCACCCUGUGCAUUGCAACCCCACAGUGCAAUGUAAAGAUGGGGAAACAGGCCCAGAGACUCAAGAGAAAUGAAACGAGUGGAGAUUGAGACUGAACUGGACCGGGAUCCGGGCCCCACAGCUGGGCUUGUCCCGAGGCUGUGUGCUGCCCCCGGAGCUCCUUGGAUGGAGAAGCGCUCCCUGCCCCUCCCUGCUCCAUGCCUGGCUUAGACACACGGCGGCCCUGCUCAUGCCUGAAAUUCCACCCUUAGCCACCCUCCCCUGUUUGGCAUUGCCCUCGCACCCCCUCUCGAGGGACACAGAAACCCCGCGUGUGGGUGUCCUCACUGCAGGUCUCCCUACCUGGCAGGCGGGGAAUGUUUUGGGGCAGGUGGUGGGCAAUGGAGGAGAAACAGUAAGCAGGGAUUUCAGGAAGAAGAAAACGCCAGCAAGGUAAGCAGGUCAACAAAACCUCACCUGUGUCAGCUUGCACACCUUCUGUCACCAGAAAGCCUGACCUUAACCUUGCACUUGUCAGAUCUGAUCCUGGUCCUCAAAGAGCAUGGAGACCCUCUUUAUACAAAUGGGAAUACUGAGGUAUGCAGUUCGAGAGGAUUGACCGAGGCCAUUUGGCUGGUUGAAGAGCGAUGCUGCGUGUCCAGAGCAGCGGGUGUGGGAGGCAGAGCCUGGAGCUCCCAGAGCCGGCGGCCCACGGCCUCGCCUCCAGCCAGGAGGGUGCGGAAUUCUCCCCCACCCAGCAGAGGCUCUGGCCAUCUGUCUCCAAGGAUGCGGGGGAGCGGACCGGCUGUGCCGCUCUAGGGCUGCUCCGCCUGACAGACAGCAGUGUCGACCACCCAUGUUUGCUGCACAGACUCUAGCUUCCACACCCCUCCCCACCCCAGCAGCCUGGGGAAGGAAGGCUGGAGGUCCCUGCAUGACGGGUGAGGAGAGAGGACAGGAGCCCGGUGCUCUGAACACCGCCCCAGCCCAGCUGCACGUCAGGACCCCGCACUGGCCUCUUACAUUGAGAAGCCAAGACCCACCCAAAACCCAGCUAUCAAAGUCUCUGGGGACAGCACCAGCAGGGCAGAGGGCGUUGGUUCCCUUAGAAUGUGCUAGAAGGCUCAUCCCUGCAGGAGGUGCCCCUGCAGGCAUCCUUGCCCCCACACUGCCUGGUGCUGCCCACCUGCUCACUUGCAGGUGACCCUAGUUUCUCAGUGGCUCGGCAGCCUCGCGGGCUGUUGUAACACUGACACCACGUCUGUGAGAUCAUUGGCUUGGAAGAUUCAGCUCAGAAUUGGAUAGAAGGGCCCUGCCCUGCCAGGCACAGCUGCCGGCCCUUGUCACCUGCAGCUGCAUGAGAAACUAAGGCUCAAACCAAAUCCUUCUGGACAGAAAAGCAGGUCCCCCUCCACUACCCCUUCGUCUGGGCUCUCGGUCAGCGGGGUCAGGGUGGCCGGGACAGUCACUCUCAUUUCCAGAGGAGGCGAGAGGCAGAUGAAGGCCAUGGACAGCAAGCCAUGGGGCCACAGCACAGCCUCAGGUCGUUGCUGACACACCUGCGCCUCCCACAGCCCUCCCCAGGAAAGCCGCGGCAGAGCUCACCCCACUCCCAGGGUGCUCACCUGGGACCUCCUCACCUCUGCACCUGCCCUGGGUAUCCUCAGCCGUGACCCUGGCCUGGCAGUGCCGGCGGACAGGUUGCAACCAGCCCAGCUCCCCAGGGGUGAGAGGGGCCCAUCACCGGCCACCCACAGGCAUCCCUGGGUCUGCUUUUUGGAGCAGUGUCCGGGGUUCCCUUCAUAUCCUUUAUAUCUAUGUGAACCUGACCGGCACACUCACUCCAGGCCCAGGUGUUCUGUAAACACUGAACACCAUGCUGUUAACCAAGGUUACGUUAAAAAGUGACUAUGUGGCCAGGAAAUAGAUUUUGUAUAGUUAUGUGCUGUUAGGAUAGAUACGGGUUUUCGUCUGCGGCUCCUGGCUUAUAACUCCCAUAGCACUUGUUCCCAUUUGCGUUAGAAUGUUGGGGGUGUUGAGCCUCAUGGGCAGCCUCUGCCUUCUCCUGCCCUCCUUUCACCUGCCCCAAGGCGGCACCCUAACUUUCUCCUGCCUUUCGGAUUGUGGGUCUUAAGACCCUCCCAUGAGAGGGUCCCAUCCUAUGCCAUGGGGGAAGGAAUGCUGACAUCAUGAAGCUUCCAUAAAAUCCCAAGAGGACUCGGUUCAGUGCGGUUCCUGGAGUGUGGCGCGCCCAGCAAGGAUGUGGGAGCUCUGCGUCCCUUCCUCCCACUUCGGUCUACGCAUCUCUUCAUCUGCAAUAUUCUUUUUCAUUAAUCUAUAAAUGUGUUUGCCUGAGCUCUGCGAGCUGCUCCAGCAAAUUAAUAGAAUUGGAAAGAGGGGGUCAUGGGAAUGCCAACCUGAAGGCGGCCAGUCAGAAGUUCCAGGGGCCCAGACUUGCGGCUGGUGUGUGUAGGGGCAGCCUUGGCGGGGGAGCAUCACAGAAGUCUUCUCCUGUGUUGAUGAUUAUUGAGGUGUGAGAGUAGAGGAGAAACACAGUUCAGGUGAGAGGCUUCCCUGCACAAGUUACCAACCAUAUGACCUGGCACAACUUUCCCAACCUGUGCCCCUUCCUCGCCUACUGGGGGGUAAUGAGAUCAAUGCCGUAGCCUGAGCAAGAGCCCAGAACGGGGCUGGGUGGGUGGGCAAACCUCGAGAAACGUGAGCUCGUAUGUGAGGCAUAUGACAGGCCGAACAGUGUGCCAUGUCCGUGGUGCCAUGCCCCAGCGUGGCUUUGAGCGCAGUGACUCUCUUAGAUUUCUGAUUGUAAAGGCCCUGUGUGCUGGGUAAAGAGUUUGGAGAAAUGCAGAAAAUUUAAAGAACAUGAAGAACUGCCCAGAAAUAACAACUGUGAACGUUUUGGAGGCCUCUCGUCCUUUCCUGUGUACCUCGUGGCACAGCUACACUGUGCCCUGCCUGGGGUCCCAGAACAUGACAGCAUCCACUGCCACCCUGACUCAUGCCUGUCCUCAGCUGGGCUCCUGCGCCAACCACAACCCCACUCCCCCCUGAAUGACAGCCAGUCUGUCAGGAUAUUCCUCCUCCGCUCAGGGCAGCCCCACUGCCGAGUCCCCAGCAUGCAUUGACUUGGGUACUCCCUACCUUGAGUCAACCAUUAGGCCCAUCACGCUGAUGCAGAGCAGGGAGCCCCAAAGUGGGGCUGGGCCCCCAAGGAUUCUUUACUUCACCCAGGAGAGACUUCAAGGGCAAGCCCCUGGUGGGGUGGGGCUUUAUUGACGAGGCAGUGUUGCAGCUCCGUGACUGUCCCUACAGAGCAGGACUACCCCACAGGCAGUGCGCUGAGAGGAGCAGCUCAGAGCAGUUGUGCAGUCACAUCUAUAUCUACUUUUAAUUACAAGCAGAUUAAGGGGUGGUUUAUGCAGAAAUUUCUAGAUCCUGGGGUUAUUGCCAUGGAAAGAGGAGGUAACGCCCAGGUGUUGCCAUGGCAGCGGUCAACUCACACUGGUGGGCGUGUCUUAUGGAAAGGUGCUUCCACCCCAUCCCUGUUAUAGCUGGUCCUCAAUUUGGUCCAGCAUCUGAGCCCCGCCUCUGGAGUAGAGUGCCACCUCUCCACUGCAAUGUGGGUGGGGACAGAUCCCCUGGGGCACCUAGCUGAAAGUCACAUCCUGCCGGAAGAGCUAAGACCACACCUGUCUGUCUGAUUUCUGAAGCUGGGCUCUCAUCCCUUGGAUCUCUGGCUCCCUUCUUGUCCUAGAGGCGAAGGGGAAGAGCUAAAUAUUUCGUGACCUUUAGGCCAUACUUGUAGAGGGGUGUGCAGGCGGGAGGAACUGAGGCCAGGUUCCGACUCUGGCUGGAGGCCUACCCAGGCCCCUGAGGUUUCUCCAGGGUCAACCCCAUGGCCCACUGGCAGCUGAGUCACACAGAGUGAUUGCUGGUCAUGCCCUUGAUUGAGAACGAUGCACUCAGAGCGUCCUCCGCUCAUAAAUAGCAGGAAGCAAAGUACAUUACGAGAGCAUAUGGUACCUCUAGGCCAUUUCUGCCUCUGGCCCCGUCACUGCCACAGUGGCUGAAACUCAUCUUCUGUUCUGACAGGUUUCCCUAGAAACCCAUCAAUUUAUAGUGUCUAUAGCUGGCCUUUUGGAGGCCCCAGACCAAACUGUGUUAGAAAACAACAGCAACAACAAAACUCCUAUUUCUCCAAAUGGCCCUGGAAGAUGCACCGGCUGUGCCCUCAAGACGCUGUGUGUGGGGCAUCCGCCUCCCUGGGCGCGUGGAGCUGGCUGAUGGCCAGGGUGUAAGGGUGCAUACUGGGCAAGGACGGGCUGAGGCAGUUGGCAAGGUCUGCAUCACCUCCACCCAUCCGUGGUCCCUGGUCAUGAAGGAUACGCCCAUCCAUCCACCUUUCUGAAACUGUUGUCAACGCACUCUGAAUUCAGGAAUGCUCUCCUCUCUCUUCCUUCUCCCCUUGGCAGACUCAGGGCGGAAAUGGUAGCUGACGUUUUCCCCAAGAGCGAGGACAAGGAAUGACCAAAAGAUCAUCAUCCCAGGGGCUUUGGGAAUGUGGGCCCUGCUGCAUUUCCUUCAGCAGAAGGGUUUCUUUCCUUCAGUUUCCAUCAGCUUUCAGGGAGGACAAAGGUCCCUUUUGCUAACUGAUCUCUGUCUCACCCUCUGCAAACCCAUCCUAUAGGCUGCAGUCAUGGCCCCACUUGGGAGUCCGCCUCCUUUCUCUCACUCCUGACUUCCCAAAACUCUGGCUGGUUGUGUGCUCCAGGGAACUUUCUAGGGUGAUGGCAAUAUGCCAUAAUUUGGAGUUUUAGGGUGGUAGUUACGUGGGUGCCUACAAUUGUUAAAAUUUACUAAAUUAAGAUCUGUGCAUCAUAUUGUGUUAAAUUGUAUCUCAAACAGAAAAGGACGAGAGUGCACCUUGUGGAGGGCAAAUCUGUGCCGCACCCCCCAGCCCCGCCGGUGCUCUGGGGUUGGCCUCAGCUCAUGCCCUGCAAGUCCUCGCCUGCAGACGCAGCUUGCUUUGCUCAGCACGCUCAUGCGUGUAUGCCACGGGUCAGUUGAGAUCUGGACCAUGGGUAGGUACAGAAUCUUUCUUGGUUAUUGUGAUGGUUUUAACAGCUUUGUUGAGCUGUAAUCUGCCUACUAUCGAAUUUCCCCAUUUAAAAUACACAACUCAAUGCUUUUUAGUAACUGUCUCCACGAGCUGUGCAACCAUCAGCACAGUCUAAUGUGAGAACAUUUUCAUUGUCCCUUCCCAAAGAAGGCCUGUAUUAAUUAGCAGUCAUUCCCCGAUCCCUCACCUCCUCUAGGUCUUACCUGACCCCAGGCCAGCACCAAUCUCCUGUCUGUCUCUAUGAAUUUGCUGAUUCUGGACAUUUUGUAUAAAUGGAAUCAGACAACGGAUGCUCUUAGUGACUGGCUUCUCCACUUGGCAGAAUGUGUUCAAGCCUCUUCCAUGUUGCAGCACACAAUUGUACUUCAUCCUUUUUUGUUGCUGCAUAAUACUCCAUGGUUGCUGAAUACUAUUCCAUGGUAUUACUUGUCAGUUGGUAGACAUUUGGGUUGUUUCUACUUUUUGGCUGUUAAGAUCUAAUGCUGCUAUGAAAUUCAUGUACAAGUUUUUAUGUGAACAUGUUUCCAGUUUUUGUGAGCAUAUACCUAGGGGUGCAAUUGCUGGGUCAUAUGGUAACUGAAUAAUUAAUCUUUUGAUGAACUGCCAGGCUGUUUUCAAAUCAACUGCAUGAUUUUACAUCCCACCAGCAGCAUAUGAAAGUUCCAAUUUCUCUACAUCCUUGCCAACACUUGUUAUUAUCUGUCUUCAUGACUACAGCCAUGCUAAUGGAUGUGAAGUGGUAUCUUACUGUGAUUUUGAUUUGCAUUUCCCUGAUGGCUAAUGCAGCUGAGCAUCUUUUCAUGUGCUUAUUGGCCAGUUGUGUAUCUUCUUUGGAGAAAUGUCUAUUCAAGUCUUUUGCCCCUUUUUAAAAAAUUGAGUUCUCUGUCUUUUAAUUAUUGCAUAGUGAGUUCCUUAUUAUUAUUAUUAUUAUUAUUAUUAUUCUUUUAUUUUAUUUUUAUGAGAUGGAGUCUCACUCUGUCACCAGGCUGGAGUGCAAUGGCUUGAUCUUGGCUCACUGCAACCUCCACCUCCCAGGUUCAAGCAAUUCUCCUGCCUCAGCCUCCCAAAUAGCUGGGACUGCAGGUGCACACCACCAUGCCCAGCUAAUUUUUGUAUUUUUAGUAGAGACAGGGUUUCACCAUGUUGGCCAGAAUGGUCUCAAUCUUGUCAAGAUCAGGAUCAGGUGAUCCUCCUGCCUCGGCCUCCCAAAGUGCUGGGAUUACAGGCAUGAGCCACUGUGCCCAGCUGUGAGUUCUUUAUUCUAGAUACAAGUCACUUAUCAGAUGGAUGAUAUAUAACGAUUUUCUCCCAUUUUGUCAGUUGUCUUUUUAAUUUAUUGUGUCUUGAAGCACAAAAGCUUUUAAUUUUAAUGAAGUCUAAUUCAUCUGUCUUUUCUUUUGUUCCUUGAGCUUUUGAUUUCAUAUCUAAGAAGCUGUUGAGUAACACAAGGUCACAAAGAUUUAUGCCUGUUUUUUUCUAAGAGCUUUUAUAGUUUUAGCUCUUACAUUUAAAUCUUUGAUCCAUGUUUUUUUUUUUUUUUUUUUUUUUUUUUUUUUUUUUUUGAGACAGAGUCUUACUCUGUCACCCAGGCUGGAGUGCAGUGGCAUGAUCUUGGUUCACUGCAACCUUCACCUCCCUGGUUCAAAAGAUUCUCCUGCCUCAGACUCCCAAGUAGCUGGGACUACAGGCACAUGCCACCAUGCCCAGAUAAGUUUUGAAUUUUUACUAGAGACAGAGUUUCGGCAUGUUGGCCAGGCUGAUCUUGAACUCCUGACCUUAGGUGAUCUGCCCCCCUUGGCCUCCCAAAGUGCUGGGAUUAUAGGCAUGAGCCACUGUGCCUGGCCUAAUCUUUGAUUCAUUUGAAUUAGUUUUUUAUAUGUGGAUAAUUUUUGAAUAUGCAUAUGGAUAUUCUGUUAUUCCAACGCCAUUUGUUGAAAAGGCUAUUUUUCCCUAUUGAAUGGUCUUGGCACCCUUAUCAAAAAUCAAUAGGCCAUAGAUGUGAGGGUUUAUUGGUUUAUUUCUGGACUCUCAGUUCUAUUCCAUUGAUCCAUAUGUCUAUUCUUAUGCCAAUAAACACUAUCUUUAUUGUUGCCUUAUAGUGGGUUUUGAAAUCAGGAAGUCUGAGUCCUUCAACUUUGUUCUAUUCAAGAAUAUUUUGGCUGCUCUGGAUCUCUUGAGUUUCUGUACUAAUUUUAUGAUCAGCUUCUUUAUUUCUACCAAAAAAGUCAGGCAGAAUUUCGAUAGGGAUUACACCAAAUCUGUAGGUAAAUGUGGGGGCGUACCACCAUCUUAACAACAGCAAGUCAUGCCCUUCAAGAAUGUGGGAUAUCUUUGUGUUUAUCUAGGUCUUUAAACAUUUCUGUUAACAACCUUUUGUAGCUUUCAGUGUGCAAGCCUUGGGCUUCUUUUGUUAAAUUUAUCCCUAGGUAUAUAUGCAAUUAUAAGUGGAAAUUUCUUUAAAUUUCAUUUUUGGCUUUUUCAUCACAAGUGUGUAGAAAUAAAAUUGAUUUUUGUAUAUUAAUCUUAUAUCCUGCCACAUUGCCGAACUUGUUUAUUUGUUCUAAGAGUAUUUUUCAUGGAUUUCUUAGGAAGAUCAUUUCAUUUGCAAAUUGAGAUUGUUUUUCCUUUCCUAUGUGGAUAUCUUUUCUUUUUCCUGACUAGGUUUUGCUAGAACCCUAUUGUUGAAUAGAAGUGGGGAGAAGGGACAUCCUCGUCAUGUUUCUGAUCAGAGGUAGAAAGCUUUUUCAGUCCUUCUGAAUUAAGUAUGAAGUUAGCUGUGGGCAUCACGAGCACUCUGAGUAUUUUUAGACGGUGCCAAAGCAAAGCCCUCCUCCGUUCUCAGCAGACCCGUGAACAGCCAUGAACCCCAGUGUCCUUUGCUUUCUCUUGUUCCUUCAUGCUCGCCUUCCACCCUCCUCUGUGCUGACCCCUCCAGGCUGCAAAUAAAACCCACCAGCUGCUUCCUAUGCUACUGUCAAUGCAUCAGCUAAAGUUGGAAUCUCAGCACCAAACCCGAGCCCUUUGUGCCUAAGGCCCCGUGGCACAAUAACCUCCAACACAGUCGUUAGGGUGAGACCUUAGGAGUGAACAACCCCUAUGCAAAUGCCCAAAAAUGUAUUCAGAUGUCACCUAUGUUUGUACCUGUAGCUGUCACAAAUCGUUUAGAAGUGUGCCAUUGGGUGGACGGCUGGAUGGAUGAAGAUAGGGGACGAUUUCUGAUUUAACAACCACCAAGUGUCAGGAGAGAGAAACACAGUCUGCGAGUAGCACUGACUCUGGCAGAGAUUUUAUAACAAUUCAUGCAAAGAUUAUUUAUUCAAUAAAUAUUUAUUGAGCUCCUAUUAUGCACUUGGCACUGGGGAAAAACAAUGAAGAAGACAUAGAAAUCCUGUCCUCUGGCACCUAAGCCUGGUGGGUUCAGGGAGAUGCAUUUGGUUGCCCUGCCAGGGCCUGGGCUUGAGGAGGCCAAGCCAUCUCUCCUAGUCAUCUGAGCCAGAACUUGGCAAACUUCUCCCCAGCUGAGUGAGUGUGUCCAGAAGACUUGCAUUACCAGGGACCCCACCAUGCAGCCAUGGCUUAGAGUGCCCUGGAGUCUGAGUUCAGGUCCCGCAGUUCAGAGCAGAGGGAAGGCAGCUGGCAGAGUAAGGAAGUAAGGAGAAUCCAUGCUCACCCUUGUCUCCCACUAUGUGACCUUGGGCCUGGGGCUGGCAUGGCAGGUGCUACAGCCAGACAAUAGAGGCUCCAAACCCAAGUUUCUGUCACUGUGGGAGCUACCAUGUCAGAGGAAGGUGAUGAUUAAUGCACAAAUAUGUAUUUUCUCCAUCAGUCUGGUCUUUAACCAGUCUCUAGAUUCAUAAUACCCUAUCCAGGACAGGGUUUUCAGAUGGAGCAUCAAUAAUGCAGGUGCACACACAAAUUAUGAAUGAGUUUGAUCCUGGAGCAGUGAUAAGUGAGACUUUCUUGGAAGGCAGGGCUCAGCUGACAGCUGUGGGCCCUGCAGUGACUCCUAUCUACACUCUGGAGGGCUCCGGAAACCUCUAGCUCUGCGCCCCCUCCUCUGAUGCAGUCCACAUUGCAGAAUGGCAGGCUCUCCUGUCCCUCUGGCUCAGCUUGUCCCAGCUUGGCCAGUCAGCCAGGGGCUACCGGGUGCUUCUGUGCCAUGGUAGCAUCUCUCCUCCCCUUGGCCUUUGCUGUGGAAGGAGCUACCUGGAGGAGAUUGUGGCCUGGGCCAGGGACAUCUGUGCCAUCACCCUGGCAGGAGGUGAGGAGGCAGUAAAAGGGCAGCCCAGACUGGCAAGAGAGGGGCUGCCCACUUCGGGGGCAUCACACCUACAGGAGGCAUGUCCUCCAGCACGUGGUCUUCACGCUGCCCCCCGACUUGGACCUCCUUUUAAACUGUACCACACUGGGAAGUCCUUCACCACGGUGGGGCUCACCCUCACCACUGGUCCAUGGCAAGGUGGAAUAAUACUUCCUGAGCUCCUUUUCCCCUCCAACAACUUCAGAGAAUGAACAAGAAAGAGUCUAGAAGAUGCAGCUGGAGGUGCCAUUUUUCCUGGCAUGGUGUUAAAAAUUUUAAAUGGGGCUGCAGUAGCCUUUCCAUCUGUGUGUGUCUCUAGCUGUGUGUUUAUCUGUUCACGUGUGUUGUGUGUAUGUGUGUGUCUCUGUGCACGUGUGUCUCUGGGUUUCUAGGUAUGUAUGUCCAUGUGUAUUCACGUGUGUGCAUGUGUUUCUGUGUAUUUGUGUGCAUAUGUAUGUGUCGAUGUGUGUGUGUAUGUGUGUGUCUCUGUGCACGUGUGUCUCUGGGUUUCUAGGUAUGUAUGUCCAUGUGUAUUCAUGUGUGUGCAUGUGUUUCUGUGUAUUUGUGUGCAUAUGUAUGUGUCGAUGUGUGUGUGUAUGUGUGUGUCUAUGUCCCUGUGUGUGUCUGUGUCUAUUUCUGUGUAUGUGUCUGUGUGUGUAUCUGUGUCUGCAUCUCUUUGUGUGUGUGUAUCUCUCUGUAUGUGUCUGUGUAUAUCUGUGUGUGUAUCUCUGUGUGUAUUUCGGUGUCCGUGUGCAUGUGUGUCUGUGUGUGUUUCUGUGUGUGUCUGCAUGUGUAUCUCUGUUUGUAUGUGUAUUUCUGCGUGUCUGUGUGUAUCUCUGUGUGUAUUUGUGUGUAUUUCUGUGUGUCUGUGUGCAUGUGUGUCUGUGUGUCUUUCUGUGUGUGUCUGUGUCAUGUUUGUGUGCAUUUGUGUCUGUGUGUAUUUCUGUGUGUGUUUGUGUCUGUGUGAAUGUGUGUCUGUGUGCAUUUGUGUCUGUGUGCAUUUGUGUCUGUGUGUAUUUCUGUGUGUCUGUGUGCAUUUAUGUCUGCGUGUAUUACUGUGUGUGUCUGUGUCUAUGUCAUGUUUGUGUGCAUUUGUGUCUGUAUUUCUCUGUGUGUUUGUGUCUGUGUCAUGUGUGUCUGUGUGCAUUUGUGUCUGUGUGUAUUUCUGUGUGUGUCUGUGUGUGUUUGUGCAUGUGCACACAUGGGUGCUCCAGCCACCGAGCCCAGCCCUCGGGGCACAGAACCCUCUGGGCACAGGGGCUUGGUCUCUGCUUCCGAAACGGCACCGCCAAUGUCUGUGAGUUUCGUGGGUGUCCCUGUGUGAUCCCCUCACUGGAAAGUCUGGCUGGCUACAGACAUUGCUGCUAUUCUCCUGGCAACUGCUGCAAACCACAAAGAGCUUCUUUCUUAUCCUUUGGGAGCAGGGGAACAAGGCUUCACUAUAAGGGGAUUAGGUUUGUAUUAGGCUUUGAUCAGAGAGGCAGAACCACCAGGAAAUGUGGCUGAGGGAUUUAUUGUAGGAUUUGCCCAUGUUUGAUAAGUCAAAGAAGGCUCUUGCUUCUGUGCCUGGUGUGGCAGCCUAGGGUCAGAAGAGCAGGUGGUGGGGCAGGAGAGCUGCAUGUCAGGUUGGGCAGCAGGAGCGCCCUGGAAACUGCCGGGUCGGAUGUCCUCUGCAAGGCAGUCUCCCUGUUGCUGUCCCCAGCUUUAAUUCUGGGAUCCCACAGGAGAAGAUGGGGCCCUUCAUCAGGUGCUAAAUGUCACACCUGUCCUGGGAGUUAAAGAACUCAUGGAAGACUAUGGCAGGAACAGGGCUGCUGUGGGUCCCCUGCUGCACACUGGCAAGGUGCCUGCCCACAGGUGACAGCAUGCAGGGCUGCAACAGCUCCAACCUUCUGGGCACAAAAAGAACAUGGCCACUGCUUCCCGCCUUCCCAAUUCUGCACCAUGCCUCUUGGGGCCAAACUGACCAGGGGCUAUGUAGGAAAGGGCAUUCUGGGCAGUACAGUUCUGCUUGGGUGGGCUGAUGCAAUAGAAACCCACCACGGUCUGCCCCUUGUCAACCUGGCACCAUAUAUGACUCACUUAGACACACUUAAUGCCUGAAUAAAGACAACAGCAAAAUCCUUGCUUAUGCCUAGCAUGAAGCAUGAUCCUCUGAACAACUGAAAACACACUCUGCCCAGAAGAGGAUACAAAACCCCUUCCUCCACCCCUGGGUGACAUCUCUUCCUCCUACAGCUAAGUCUCACACCCUUUCUGAUAUCCUGUGGCCUAAACGCCAAGUAUAUUUGUUAUCUAUUGCUCUAUAAAAAAUCACCCCAAAAUCCAGAGGCCUAAAACAAUAAAUGUGCAUGAUCUCACCUCUUCUGUGGACAAGAGUCUGGGCAUCGCUAAACUGGCUGCCUGUGGCUCACAGUUCCUCGCUAGGCCUCAGUGAAGCUUCCAGCCAAGGCAGUGAUCUCAUCUGAAGACUGGACUGGGAUGGUAUCAUCUUCCACGCUUGCGUGCAUGGCUGUUGGUUUGUGUCAGCAGCUUUCUGCCAUGCAGGCCACUCUGUGGGGCUACUCAUGAUGUGGCAGCCUGCUUCUUUCAGAAAAAGAGCUGCAAAAGAGAGAGAAAGCAAGAUACUGCAUGCAAGAUGGAAGUCAUGGUCUUUUUGUGACUUAACCUCUAAUCUUGGAAGUGAUAACCCUUCGCUUUUGUUGUAUUCUGUCCAUUCUUUGGAUUGAGGUACUAUGUCCAGCCCACAUUCCAGGGGAGGGGAUUACACAGGGCCAUAGAUACAGAGAGGAGGGGUCAUGGGCCCAUCUUAGAGGCCGCCCAGCCUGCUGAGAGAGAAGGUCACUACUAUCAAUGCAACGUAUGUUGGAUGCAGAGAAAUGGAAGAGGGAGGAGAAGUGUGGUUCACAUCUACUGACAGAUUCACAGCUAAAUACGGAAUAAGAACUUGUGACUGUUACACCUCAUGUCUCUACCUGGUCAUGCGGCCAUAGCUGUCCCAUAACUACCCUCCCUCGUGACUGUCCAUAGUCCCUGUGCCCUAGCAAGGCCCUCGGAGGGUCGUGCUUCCUUGUUUGGUGGGGUGACCCAAAUCUUCAUUCCCAAAGGAUCUGAACGUCUGAAACCUGCUACCAUUUUGGGUCAUUGUUGACCAUUUCAAUGUGGUUCAUAAUCAUCCUGGAGAGAAGGCAGGUGCCUCGGGGCCCAGGUAGUGGGACUUCAGGAGCCUGUGUGCUGCCCUGGGGCCUCUGGGUAGAGUGUGGCCUGGCCUCAGGUGCCCUGGGGGGUCUUGGAGUUGGGUCAGUAGAGGGUCUGAGUCACAGCCACCCCGUCCUUCUGGCCCAUCCUCCCAAGACCAUCUCUGGAAGGUUUUCCCCUGGUGGGUGUCAGAUGGGACAUCCCUGAGGAAGACCUGGCUCCAGGUGGAGGCGCCCCACGCCACCUUGGUUGUGGCGGCUGCCAGUCCUGGCCACAGCCCCAACCCCUAUGAGGCACCAGCAUCCUCUUUGGUAUCCACAGAGGUGGCAGGAAUCUGUCCAUCCACACCUUCAUCCACUCAUUAAGCAAAUGCGCGCUGGGGCUGACUUCUCAAACUGUGAAAAAGCCACGUGGGGCUCUGCCGUGGUGGGGCUGCCACCCCAGGGGACAGGACAACCCACCCUUGAACACAUACUAUGUGGGUCCAUUUCAAAUUGCAACCAAGGCCCUGGACAAAACAAAGCGAGGUGGCUCCAGAGCAUCACUGCCAGGAGGGGCCUCCUUCGAUGGGGGCAGCAAGGUGCUCUCCAAGGACCCAUGGAUGGGCCUGAAGGAAGAGGUCUCAGGAAUAAGCAAGCCACAGACACACCCUGCAGGCAGGAGGAGGACGGCAUGAAGGCUGCAGGUGCAGGGCUCUGUGCUCAGCUGGAUGGGGCUGAGGGAGGAGACCCAUUCAGAUGCUGGGGCCUGCUGGGUCGAAGGCCAGUCAGCUCCUCUUGCUCUCAGCCAGGCCAACCCUUGAGGGUCUCAGACUUCACUGUUCACCACUCCGCUACACACAGGUAGCCUGUGAAAGUCACUUCUCUAGAUCCCCAGGGACGUACAUCCCGCAACGCUAGCUUGGGCGGGACCUGAGUGCCAGCUGGGUGGCCAGAGGUGGGCGAAUUUAAGGCAGAUGGCAAAGCCAUUCCCACCCCAGGGCCACUGGUCGGCACAGCUGGGCACAGCCCACCACCUGCCAGACCUUUCAGAGGGAAUGCAUCUCCCUCCAAGCCAGGUCCCAGCUGGGAUCUUCCAGCUGAAGAGGUUUCCUUGGGCAGAAGCGAGAAGCGAAUUGGAAGAAAGAGGCCCUGACCCUCCAGGAGGCUCCAUUCUGCCUGUGGCCCUGAAAAAAGAGAGCAGGAAGGAGCAACUCUCACUUCUUCACAGCGACUUUGAGAAGUGGAAGACAGGGGCCGCUCCCCGGCUACAAACAAGAAGCCGAUGGAAACCAACACCGUCCCCUCCAGCCUCAUCUCCUCGCUCUUCAGAGUUUGCAGGGAGAUGCAUCACGAAGGCCCAUGAAGCUGUAAAGAUUAGUAUUCCAACCCGGGCAGCAGGGUUUUAAUUAGUCAUUAGGCCCUUUCUGCAGAGCCAUGCUGAACAGGCAAGGGCAGGGUGACCUUUCUCCGCCCAGCACUGUGGCAGCCUGUCUGCUUUGCAGGUGCACUUGGGACUCUGUCAAAACCGCUAAGAGGAGAGGACUGAGGCUGGGCCGGGAAGGAGGCCCUAGCCUCUCUGUUCCUGGGCAUGGCCCCCACCACGGGGGCACUGCAGACCUUUGCUCCCAUCUGGCUCUAGCUCACAGCUUGCACCCCUCAUCCACAAGGGACACAGACAGUUGCUCACGUGAUGGCUCUCCUAGCGAGCCCACGGGCAACGCCAGGAACAAGCCACCCAGGAGUUGAAGCACUUCCCUGGUGUGUGUGAUGGGAGAGGGGAGGGAGCCGGCUUCCUGCAGCCAGUCCCCGCCGGAUUCCAGGAAGGCGAGCGAACCCCUGCGGAAGGUCGGUUCUCAGCCAGGCAUCUGGGACCCCCCUGCCAAGUUGCCCCUUCUUGGCCAAAUGUCACCACAUACCAUAAAAUCACAGAGAACCUUCCAGCUUGCCUGCCUUAGAAGCCAACCCUCCCAACCUCCUGGUUUCUCGAGGACAGUGAGGCCAAGAGCAGCUGCAACCAGGGGCGUGCAGAGGCCGGUGGCUGAGCUGGGGCCAGGACCCUGGACUAUGGCUGUCUAUUUACAACCCAAAAUAAAACGCUAAUUGCCACCAGCACCUGCUGACAAAGAUUUCAAAUCAGUGUCCUCACGAGGACUUCUCCUGGGGCUUCCUGCCAAGCUCAUGAUGUGCUUCUAUCCAGUGGGUCAGCAGGCCCCGGUGUCUGAGGGCACAGCAUUUCUUUCUGCCACUGCUCCGGAUUAUCUGCCCCAGUCUGGCCCCUCGGCUCCUGCCUCACCCACAGUGCCCCCAGGCCUCCCUCCCGUGGGCUGUUCGGCUCCUGUCUCCCACCUUCUCUCCACCUUGGCAGCCGUCCAUGGCCACAGGCUUGCACCCGGGUCUUGCACUGAACGUCAACUCAGGUGCGAGGCUUUCCUUCCCAGCUUCACUGCAAACACUGCAGGCAGGCCUUGGGGUCAUCUGGCUCAGCACACCACAGGGACCCCACUAGCUCUUAUCCGCUGUAUGGGGGUCCCAUAGCCAUGGGCUGGGCACUUCAUAGGAAAUGGACGUCUGUGACCUCCAAGGGGUUACAGACACACCCUCCGAGGGGAGGUGACAGAAUGGCUGGAAGUCGCCACCACGAUCACAGCCCGGAGCCACUGUGGGGACCUUGGUGCGUGUGCCCCGUUCGUGUUGUCACCAGUGCAGGUGCCCUGCACCUCCGCCUCUCAGGAGCAGCCACCCAGCUACAGUCUGAGCAAUUGCACAUCUGGCUCACUGCAGUUCCUUGUAUGACAGCAAGGACAAUGUAACAGGUUUCAUGCCUUCUUGUCUGUGCUGUUAGUUCCUGAUGCCAAGCCCUUCCCAGGAGGCUGAGGAUCAGGCGGACUCUCAGGCCAGCAGCAGCAAGGUAGGAAGUCCUCCUGCCCCAGAUGCCUCCAGCCUGCAGACUUCAUAAUAAAUGGGAGGUUGGCUUUCCCAGCCAAAGCCAUAAACUUUAAUUGGGCUUUUUAAAGACCACAAAAGCAAAUAUAUGCCCUUAAAGAAACCCUUUGGUAACUUGCUCAGAACAUAAAGGUGACUAUUAGCAUGUGCUGAUUUGAAAUACCAAGAAGAAAAUAUCUCCCACAUCAACAUAUGCUAGUGUAAGGCAUGUCCUGUUUUGCAUAGCUCUCACGGUUCCCCACCCUAACACUAGGGCCCGCCUGUCCUAGAGGGCAGCAUGCUUGAAAUCAGAAGACUGCAUUUGGCCUGGCUCCACAUGCCCCUUAACAUUGUUCUUUUUUGUUUUCUUUGAGACAGGGCCUGUCGCCCAGGCUGGAGUGCAGUGGUGUAAUCUUGGCUCACCACAACCUCCACCUCUCAGCAACCUCCGCCCCCCAGCAACCUCCACCUCCCGGCAAACUCCACCUCCUGGGUUCAAGCCAUUCUUGUGUCUCAGCCUCCCGAGUAGCUGGGAUUAUAGGCAUACGCCACCACACCCGGCUAGUUUUUGCAUUUUUAGUAGAGAGAGAGUUUUGCCAUGUUGGCCAGGCUGUUCUCGAACCCCUGACCUCAAGUGAGCCACCCACCUCGGCCUCCCUAAGUGCUGGGAUUACAGCCAUGAGUCACCGCGCCCGGCCGCUCCUUAACAUUGUUGAGCUCCCCUUUCCUCCUCUGCGUAAUUAGUAAGAUCUCUUCCACCUGCCUCAUGGGCUGACUGAGGGAACAACCCAGACAGGGAUGAUCAUGACGGUGCUGUUGGCUGACUGUGGGGCUCGACACUGUGCUCAUCACUUUAUGCAUCUGAGAUGGAAAUGGUCUCAGCCACAGGCACAGAUGGGGAACCCAAGGCAAAGAGAGGUUAAGUAACUUACCCUUGGUCAUGCAGACAGUGGCUGAGCCCGAAUUCAGCCCCAGUGUCUUUAACUCCAGGUGUGAGGGCAGCGGCUCCAGCACGCGAGGCCCCAGGAGCCAGGCACUGCUCACAGCACCAGGCGUGACCGCAGCGGCUCCAGCACGCGGGGCCCCGGGAGCCAGGCACUGCUCGCAGCGCGGGUCGCUCACGUGUUCUUUGGAGGCAAAUCCAUGCGGCGUUCACACACACGGACCUUGCAGUUGCUUGCGCCUUUUUUUCUCUCCAACUCAUCACAGGGCAUGACUUCUCUCCAAGCUGCCUGAAAUAAAAUGAAUAACUUUUUAUGUGAAGUUCUUCGUGCUGAAGAGAACUUGUUCCAAAUGGGGAAUAAUUGGCCUUCCAGGGCUCCAUACCGGCAAUGAAGUGAAAGAUGCUGACGUUUCAGAGGUGUGGAAAUAAAAGGACUAAAAAUGGGAUUCGGAGCAGCUAAUGAGGGCAGAUCCGCAGGGUUUGAGAGACAAAAUGGGGAUCGCAGGUGGAAGCUGGCACCGCGGCCAGGGGCAGCCCACGCAGCAGCGAGUGGGGCCGAGGUCGUGGGCGGGUGUCCGGACCCUCAUCACAGGAACUUGCUGGAACCCCCAGAGGCCCCGGCCUCUGCUGGCUUUGAGGCCUCAGACCUCCCUAGUCCAGUCACGAGCCACCGAGCCCCCUAUACGAGUCUGCUCAGCGGCUGUAUGAAGCAUGUUAUGUUUGACGAAGGAUUAAACACCAGAAAUGUAUUGUCCCCGGUUCUGGAGGCUGGAAGUCUGAGAUCAAGGGGCUGGCAGGGCUGGUUCCUUCUGAGACCCCUCUCCCUGGCCUGUGGGUGCCAUCUUCUCUCUCUGUGGGUGUCCAUGUCUUUACCACCCCUUCUCCUAAGGACACCAGUCCUAUUGGAUUAAGGUCCACCCUAAUGGCCCCAUUUUAACUUAGUUACCUCUCUGAAAAUCCUACCUCCAAAUACGAUCACAGACUCCAAGCUGCUGGGGUGAGGACUUCAACAUGUGAAUUUGGGGCGAGGGGCAGCUUGGUUCAGCUCCUAACAUGCAUGUCAGCCACGCUCUCACUCACUCAUCCUUGUUUUGAUUCGUUUACAUGGUGCAUGUCUCCGGUGCCUACUGUGUGCUAAGCUGGGCCAAGACAGAAGCUGCCUGCCAGGAGCCCAGUGCCCAGUGGAGGAGGAGGGAUGGAGCAACAGGGCAGUAGGACGGGGUGUGGCUGUGCCCCAGAUGGGGAGGAGUUAGCCCUGGCCCCAUGUGCAGUGCAGCCUCCGGGUGCCCACCGCUCUGGGACUACAGAGUAGCUCCUUGGACAGUCAUGUCUUCAGAACUGAGAGCUGAGAUGACCCAGUUGGCCCAUAUUAGGCAGUUUCCAGUCCAGGAAAGGAGGGGGUGGCAUCAAGACCUGAGCUCUGGGGAGCACAUUUUGGGGUCCACAUUCUUGCUUUGCUUGUGGAAUGCCUGCAGGAGCUGGAGGCCACGCCACAGAGCCCUUGGGAGGAGAAACGGCCACGUGUGGAGGGCAGUCUGAUGGCAGGUAUCCACGCUGAAGAUACAUGUGUCCUUUGAACCAGCCCCCAGUUCCCUGGGAGAAUGUCUCAGAUCCCUAGGCAAAGGCACAAAGAUCUGGUGUGUUUACUGCUGUAAGAGACAGCCCCAAACCUCGGCAGUUUCUCCCAACAUAGAAACCCACAGAGCGAUGCUGUGAUCCAGGUCCUGCCUGCUCCAUGGUACCACCCUUCUCUGGUUCAGCAGACAGAGAGGGAGAGAGCGUGAGGACCACACAUGAGGGGUUUUAUGGCUGACCAGAAGCAGAACACAGCACUUCCUCUCACCUCCCAUUGACCAGACUCCAGUACACACAGGACCGCCUGAGAAACAUGUGCACCGGGGGAAGAGAGCGUGGUUGGAACACCAGCCAUCUCUCAUGCAAUAUUUAUCUAAAUUCUAAAAUAAUUGAGCAUUGAAUCCAACUGGAACUCCCU
rnacentral:lncRNA from 1 species